rnacentral:lncRNA from 1 species
AGAGCAAGCGCCCAGGCCUCGAGAAAAUCACACAAGUCACUAAUACCAUCACCUCAAAUGUCCUUGUAGCCUCAUCUUUCUUCCGUCAAGAAGGUGAUGGUAGUAUCACAUGGUNUCCGUCAAGAAGGUGAUGGUAGUAUUACAUGGUUGGUGCAAGGUGAGCCACACUUUCGAGUUCCUGCUGGGGAUUUCAGCUCUCUCCAACUCCAGCAGGACAUCACUCAGACUCAGUGGUGUCUACCAAAGAACAUUUCUGCAAAUUCCACCCCACGUGCCCCCGCGUCCAUCCCGAGAGCUCCUGAGCGGCCAGUCCUCGACCAUGAAGACGACAUCCCUAUUGCUCCCACUGCGAGGGGGUCCACUUCUAUUUCCCCAGUAGCGACUGCACGUCAUUUCUACACCAGGCGGGCGACUCAAUACCACGACAUAUACAUGAGGCGUUUUGAUCACCUUGAUCAAGCUGUUGCUGACAUUCGCGCUGACGUUCAACAAUUGACACAAACGGUACAACAAGCCAUGCAGUUCAUGCAGCGUUGGGCCCCUCGCGGCUAGUAGAUUGCCCUACCCUCUCCGAGCAUCGAGGACGAUGCUAAAUCUUAAGCUUGGGGAGGGGUCUUUGUACA